GGAAGACUCAGUAUGAAGCUGUCAUCCGUUGUCAAAGCUUUAGGAUCUCUGUGCCUGCUGCUUGCAGAUGGAUCUCCAGUUUUAGGAAAAGCUCCACAGAUAAUUGGGCCACAUAACACGCAUGUCAAAGCUAAACCAGGAGAGGUACUGUUGCUUCACUGUGACGCCUGUACAGAUUCUGAAGAUAUAAC